AACGAACGCUGGCGGCAUGCCUAACACAUGCAAGUCGAACGAACCCUUCGGGGUUAGUGGCGCACGGGUGCGUAACGCGUGGGAAUCUGCCCUUUGCUUCGGAAUAACUCAGGGAAACUUGUGCUAAUACCGGAUGAUGUCUUCGGACCAAAGAUUUAUCGGCAAGGGAUGAGCCCGCGUAGGAUUAGGUAGUUGGUGGGGUAAAGGCCUACCAAGCCGACGAUCCUUAGCUGGUCUGAGAGGAUGGUCAGCCACACUGGGACUGAGACACGGCCCAGACUCCUACGGGAGGCAGCAGUGGGGAAUAUUGGACAAUGGGCGCAAGCCUGAUCCAGCAAUGCCGCGUGAGUGAUGAAGGCCCUCGGGUCGUAAAGCUCUUUUACCAGGGAUGAUAAUGACAGUACCUGGAGAAUAAGCGCCGGCUAACUCCGUG
rnacentral:rRNA from 1 species